GACGAACGCUGGCGGCGUGCCUAACACAUGCAAGUCGAACGGAAGUUAACGCUGAUUUGAAGGUAGCUUGCUACUGGAUUUUCUUGUUAACUUUAGUGGCGGACGGGUGAGUAACGCGUGAGUAACCUGCCUUACAGAGGGGGACAACAGUUGGAAACGACUGCUAAUACCGCAUAAUAUAGCGAAGAGGCAUCUCUUUGUUAUCAAAGGAGCAAUCCGCUGUAAGAUGGACUCGCGUCCGAUUAGAUAGUUGGUGAGGUAACGGCUCACCAAGUCGACGAUCGGUAGCCGGACUGAGAGGUUGAACGGCCACAUUGGGACUGAGACACGGCCCAGACUCCUACGGAGGCAGCAGUGGGGGAUAUUGCACAAUGGAGGAAACUCUGAUGCAGCAACGCCGCGUGAGGGAAGAAGAUCUUCGGAUUGUAAAAGCUCCGUCUUAGGGGACGAUAAUGACGGUACCCUGAGAGGAAGCCACGGCUAAC
rnacentral:rRNA from 1 species